rnacentral:rRNA from 2 species
UGGGGAAUAUUGGGCAAUGGACGAAAGUCUGACCCAGCGACGCCGCGUGAGGGAAGAAGGUCUUCGGAUUGUAAACCUCUGUUGUAAGGGAAGAAGAAAGUGACGGUACCUUACGAGGAAGCCACGGCUAACUACGUGCCAGCAGCCGCGGUAAUACGUAGGUGGCAAGCGUUAUCCGGAAUUACUGGGUGUAAAGGGUGUGUAGGCGGGACUGCAAGUCAGAUGUGAAAACUAUGGGCUCAACCCAUAGCCUGCAAUUGAAACUGUGGUUCUUGAGUGUCGGAGAGGUAAAUGGAAUUCCCAGUGUAGCGGUGAAAUGCGUAGAUAUUGGGAGGAACACCAGUGGCGAAGGCGGCUCUCUGGACUGUAACUGACGCUGAGGCACGAAAGCGUGGGGAGCAAACAGG